AGAGCGAACGCUGGCGGCAGGCCUAAUACAUGCAAGUCGAACGGAUCCUUCGGGAUUAGUGGCGGACGGGUGAGUAACACGUGGGAACGUACCCUUUGGUUCGGAACAACUCAGGGAAACUUGAGCUAAUACCGAAUGUGCCCUUCGGGGAAAAGAUUUAUCGCCAUUGGAGCGGCCCGCGUCUGAUUAGCUAGUUGGUAGGGUAAAGGCCUACCAAGGCUACGAUCAGUAGCUGGUCUGAGAGGAUGAUCAGCCACACUGGGACUGAGACACGGCCCAGACUCCUACGGGAGGCAGCAGUGGGGAAUUUUCGUCAAUGGGGGCAACCCUGAACGAGCAACGCCGCGUGCAGGAAGAAGGUUUUCGGAUCGUAAACUGCUUUUCUCGGGGAAGAGAAUGGACGGUACCCGAGGAAUCAGCCCCGGCUAACUACGUGCCAGCAGCCGC
rnacentral:rRNA from 1 species